UUUAAAAGCAAAGGAGAUGAAGAAAUUAUGAAAGGAUGCUGAGAAGAAGAAGAAGAAGAAGAAGAGGUGGAACAGGGAUGCUGGGGGGCUAAGAUAGAUGAAGAGAGAGAUGAUGGGAAGCUUGCGAUAUUGAAUAGAGAUUUAUAUUUUGGCGGGCAGUUCACCCAGCUGUUCAUCCUCCCUUUCGGGCUGGUCUAUAACAAAUUGUGUAUCUGAGGAAACCUGGGAGAGGUAAACUCAGGCAACCCGGAUGUUACACUGGCCCUGACUCAAAAUACUUAAUAAAGAAAUCCCACUAAAUAUAGACGAGUCACAAAAAGGUAUUCAUCUUACUGGUGGAUGCUGGGAAAGGUUGAAUCUCAUUGGUGGAUGCUGGGAAAGGUUGAAUCUCAAUGGUGGAUGCUGGGAAAGGUUGAAUCUCACUGGUGGAUGCUGGGAAAGGUUGAAUCUCAAUGGUGGAUGCUGGGAAAGGUUAAAUCUCACUGGUGGAUGCUGGGAAAGGUUGAAUCUCAUUGGUGGAUGCUGGGAAAGGUUGAAUCUCACUGGUGGAUGCUGGGAAAGGUUGAAUCUCACUGGUGGAUGCUGGGAAAGGUUGAAUCUCACUGGUGGAUGCUGGGAAAGGUUGAAUCUCAAUGGUGGAUGCUGGGAAAGGUUGAAUCUCACUGGUGGAUGCUGGGAAAGGUUGAAUCUCAUUGGUGGAUGCUGGGAAAGGUUGAAUCUCAUUGGUGGAUGCUGGGAAAGG